CACGUAGGCGGCAAGGUAAGUCAAAGGUGAAAGCCCUCGGCUCAACCGAGGAACUGCCUUUGAAACUGUCUUGCUUGAGUCCGGGAGGGGGGAGCGGAAUUCCCAGUGUAGCGGUGAAAUGCGUAGAUACUGGGAGGAACACCGGUGGCGAAGGCGGCUCCCUGGACCGGUACUGACGCUGAGGUGCGAAAGCGUGGGUAGCAAACA
rnacentral:rRNA from 1 species